UUGAGAAGAGCAUUCAUUCAAGGAGUUUGUAAGGUAUCUAAGAAGUCGGAUGCCCGCUUUGGACUUCUAUGCUUUACGCAGUCGAUGCAAUGCUAUACUCGUUUAUAGUUUUGUAGAAUGAUUAAUACUCAGAAGUUUCCUAUUUUUCCUUGUAGUUUUAGAUAAAAUAUUGUUGUUGAUAAUUGUGCUUUUUUUUCUGCUUGGUAGAGUUCGUGUUUAUUGGGCAUGAAUUGACUAAUAUUUUUUCUUUAAUUUUCUUAAUGUUUAAGAAUUGAUUGGCUUCUUCAUCUGUUCCAUAUCUUGGUAGGAAAUCAAGUGUUGGAUCGUCAUGCAUAUCGAUAUAAAAUAACGAUUAUACAUUUAUUCGCCCAGUUGAUCAUAAUAUAGUCAUAUCCAUUCCUUGAUAUCAUAGCGUGGCAGGGCCUCCGUGCAUCACGGUGGGGGCGCGUGUUAACUGUCCGAAUCCGAAUCCGAAUCCGCCCUCACCCGUUUGAACACCAGACACGAGAUCCCAAGUCCGCGAAGUCCACGCGACGCCCAAUUAAUUGAACGAGUCUCGCCCAAUUAAUUGCGUGAGGAUAGCGCAUCUUCCGGGAUUCCCUCCAACUUACCGCAAGAAACUGGCACGCUUGAUAUGACGUGUCGACCACAUCUGACCGUUUGAUGUAGAUAUUGGACCAUGAAAUUAGAUUGACUAGUUGGAGAGGAUCCGUCAUCGUUAUCGCAAUCAGAAAUCUCGAAGUUGUUAGCCAGUGCAGUCGAUGACCGUACUCGGACGUCUCUCCCUGCAAUAAGUUGUGCACCGGGGUCAUGUUCUCCGCCUUCCUCUCUGCUGUCAGAUCUCUCAUCGCUUUCCCAUGGCGGUGGCCUCCUCCUUGACGCCGUCAUCACUUGCGCUCUCGCUAGUUUCUGUCGUCGUCCUCCUUUCGACUGCGGAUCUCGCUUUCUCUUUGAUUCCACCGUCAAGCUCGCCCUCUCCCUCGCCGGUUCCAGGAGGUCCGCUCCGAUCGUCUCCCGCACCCUCGCCGGACUCCCCUCCCUCGCCAUCGCCAUCGCCGUCGCCCGAGAACCUUCUCUCUCCACUGGUGCCGGCGCUGCCGCCGGAGGUGCCUUCGCCCGCUCCGACCCCAUCCGCGACGCCGUCGCCAGCACCGGUGCCGAGCCACGAGGAGAUCCAGUCCGGGGAGGUCGCCGACCAAGCGGGCCGUGACGGAGAAGGGGGAGGGAUGAGCGGGGAGAAGAAGGCGGGGAUCGCAGUGGGGGUGGUACUGGGGGUGGCGGUGCUCGCGGGCGGUGCUGUGCUGUACAAGAAGCGGCAGGACAACAUCCGGCGGUCCAGAUUCAAGACAACAACACUCUGGUCUUCAUUGUUGAUAUUCAAGAUGACAAGAAGAUGAUAAAAGCAGCUGUGUAGAAGAUGUAUGCAAAGAAAGUUAAUACUCUGAUCAGGCCCUGACUGAUGGAACUAAGAAGGCUUAUAUUAGAUUAAUGCAUGACUACGACGCCCUCGAUGUUGCAAAUAAAAUCGGCAUCAUUUGUUGCUGAGAUAAAAUUUAGCUCUUCACUUGAUCCCAGUUUUGAGGUUGUAUUUUUCACACCCUAUCAUUUACUUGGAAUGUUCUCUUGAUUUUUGCCGUGUUUGUUUUGAGAUGAUAUAAUGUUAGUCUGCCUCAUUAGUGUAGUUUUUAACUGACCAUCUAGUUUUCUUCUAUAGUUAAUUCACUCCUCUGAACAUUCUAGCAGAGUAUUUGAUCAACCUAAUGGUUGCUAUCUAUGUUGCUUCAACUAGAUUUAAUAUCCUACCUUUUUGUUACUGUUGUGAAUGAUAGUAGAUGAGAUUUCCGGAAAUCUCUCUAUCGUAUCGAGGAAAAUCCUCUCUGUCGAGGGAAAUCCUCUCUCCUAACUUGUAUAAAUAGGAGAGGGAUACGUUAAUGCAAAUCAGCUUCCAGCUUCUUCUGUAAUAAUUUCUUUCUCUAUUCAUUUUCUAACAUGGUAUCAGAGCUAUAGCCCCAGUAAUCUGAGGGCUCAAUCUCUCCUCAUAUGGCUAGAAAAGGCAGUGCCGCUGUGUUGUUGCGUUGCUGCUUCUCCCCUUCCAACCUCACCAGAGGUCGACGGGACUCCUCUAACUCCUCCACCACGCAACAGCAUCAAGUACAAGGUUCGCCUCCUUUUCUGAUCUCACUUCUGUCUCGCUGCCAAGUGCAUCUCAAAUCGCAGUGGAAGCAACGCAGAUCUACCUGAGAUUUGCCUCUCAAAUCUCAACCUCUACAAUCUCUGGGACGCUGCGACAUCUCCGUGGCCAUUUCCCGGCCCACAGCAGCUUCCUCUAUUGUGGUCGCUUCUAGGCUCUAGGCGCAAACUGCAGUAGCAAUCUGCAGCAGUAAUCUACAACAGCAGCAAACUACAUCAGCAGUGCACAAUCUGCAGCAGCCUCGUUCGCCAACUUCUAUGACAUGAGCAUAUGAGAUGUUGCUGCAUCGGUUUGCAAGCAAAAAAAAAAAACUAGGAUGUCUUUGUUCUCUUCUUAUAAUAUUCCAGUUCUUGCAGGGACUCUCACUUCUUCUUCUACAGGGCUUAUCUCCAUCAAUGCUGCCACACAAAUCCCUUUCAAGUUAUCAAAGGGUGGCAACUAUGUAUCCUGGCGGGCUUAAUUUUCUAAUCUCUUAUUUGGAUACGACUUGUUAGGUUACAUUGAUGGCUCUUUCAGUUGUCCGCCAACCAUGCUUAACAUCCCUGGAGAACCUAGUCCAGGACCCAAUCCGGCUCAUAAACUGUGGUUGCAUCAAGAUCGUCUCAUCCUCUAAGCUAUUCAAGCCUCAGUUGCUGGAUCCGUCGCUCCUUUAAAAUCUUCAUGUGUGACUACUGUCGAUGCAUGGUCUAAACUGUAAACAACCUUGGCGAAUCAUUCGCGUACUGGCAAGCUCAGUCUUCUUUCCAAGCCGAUGGUGACAAAAUAAGAGGGAAGCACUAUAACUGAUUAUCUACAAAAUAUCAAGGUUAUCAUCGAUGACUUGGCUUUGAUAGGUCAUUCUCUAUGUGACAAAGAAAUCAUUAUCCAUACCCUAAAUGGUCUCGACAACGACUACAAGGAAUUGGCUGUUGCAAUUCGGGCAUGCGAUUCGCCAGUCUCUUUUGAUGAACUCUAUGAUAAGCUGAUUGACUAUAAGACAUAUUUGAAGCGUGCGGACAAAUUGCCUGGAUCGACUAUCACAGCUCAAGUCAAUCACAAGUCUAAAGAGCACUCGGUACCCUCCGAACAUUACCAAAGGUUUGGCCAAUGCACAUCUUGAUCCUAUGAGUCCCAUGCAACAUCCCUCUUAUCCUCAUAGUCAUCACUUCUCGCAAAGUGACAACUCCAAUAACCAUCCGUCUUGAUAUCCUGCCCCGUCGAGCCAUCAAAGAUGGGUCAUCUACUGUGACAAAAUAGAGAGAAAUUAUAGAAGAAGCUGAUUUACAUUAACAUGUCCCUCUCCUAUUUAUACAGGUUAGGAGAGAGGAUUUUUCUCAAUAGA